UGGGGAAUAUUGCACAAUGGGCGCAAGCCUGAUGCAGCCAUGCCGCGUGUAUGAAGAAGGCCUUCGGGUUGUAAAGUACUUUCAGCGGGGAGGAAGGGAGUAAAGUUAAUACCUUUGCUCAUUGACGUUACCCGCAGAAGAAGCACCGGCUAACUCCGUGCCAGCAGCCGCGGUAAUACGGAGGGUGCAAGCGUUAAUCGGAAUUACUGGGCGUAAAGCGCACGCAGGCGGUUUGUUAAGUCAGAUGUGAAAUCCCCGGGCUCAACCUGGGAACUGCAUCUGAUACUGGCAAGCUUGAGUCUCGUAGAGGGGGGUAGAAUUCCAGGUGUAGCGGUGAGAUGCGUAGAGAUCUGGAGGAAUACCGGUGGCGAAGGCGGCCCCCUGGACGAAGACUGACGCUCAGGUGCGAAAGCGUGGGGAGCAAACAGG
rnacentral:rRNA from 1 species